rnacentral:tRNA from 1 species
GCCCUAGUGGCACAAAGGUUAAGCAUUUGGCUGCUAACCAAAAGGUCAGAGGUUUGAAUCCCUCAGUGGCU